CUGCAGCAGCCCUUUCUGGGGGAGCCUCGGCGUUCCAGGCAGCUGUGGCCAGGCCUGAGUCAGUGGGAGCCCCGGGCCGCCCCGCCCUGGGGCGGAUUAGCUAAUUAUUAAAAAGUGCUCCGGCAGCACAAAGGGCAGGAGGACGCGCCGCCCUGCUCCGCCUGCUGGGAGCUGGCACUGACCGGAGGGAGCUCGGCAGGAGGGGACAGACCGAGCCGCCCCUUCCCGACACGCGGGCUGCCCCUGGGCGUGGACUUUUGCGCCCAGCCUCUCCGGGAGAAGCCAACUUUACUUUGUGGUUAGACUGUAAGGUCUUUAGGAUUUCCUUUCUCUGUGUCACACAUUAAAAGUGGAGAAUCAUAAUGAUAAUCCCAUUUGGAUUUAUGAACAGUUGAAUAGACUAUUGAAAAGAUGCCUUAAUCAAGAAAUAAAUUCACUACAGAAUUGCAUUCAGGGUGGGACAACUACCUUUACCCAUGGAUUUUCUAUCGCUUCAGGGAAAACUCUUCGAUGUUUGAAUUAAGCACCACAUCUGGAAACAAAAGAAAACGAUUACUUUCACUAAGUGCUAUCUAUGUCUCUAGGACUAUGGACAAAAUUUGCUUACAUUCUGUCAAAAUUCCAUCCACUUUUGAAGGUUACAGGCCAGGCUGGAGUCAAGGGAGAAGAAAUAGCGUCUACUUCUUGGUGGGAAGACCAGUAUGCACAUAUAGGGAGAGAAGAAUCAGCACUGGCCUUCUUUGGAGUCUCUCUGAGAAGGGGGAAGAUGAAGGAUGACACGGUCUGCUUGUCAGGUCACAAAAGACAACACCUUAACCAUCCAACAACUUCCCAUCCACCAUAUUGAAGAACAGGAAGAGGCCAGAGAGCUAACUGGAGAGCCUGGGAAUGGGUCUUCAUGGCAAUCCCUGGACAGCACUGCAAUUUACUCCACAAGAAAGGCUCCAGGAAGGGCUGGAAAGUUGUAACAAAAUAAAGAAGUUGUAUUAGGUAAAAUUAAAAGAAGUUAGAAUAAUGGCACAUUCAGGGAUGGUGGUUACCUCUCCAGGAGAGAAGGGGAUGUGGAGUCCACAGGGAGCCUCGCCAUUCAGCUAAGCUUUUAUUUCUAAAGUUAGGGGUUGGAUGCAUAGGUGUUGUUGUAUU
ensembl:lncRNA